UUUCUGUUUGAUCCUGGCGGAGGAUGAACGCUGGCGGCGUGCCUAACACAUGCAAGUCGAACGGAGUUACGAGAGCUUGCUUUUGUAACUUAGUGGCGGACGGGUGAGUAAUGUAUGAGCAACCUGCCUUUCAGAGGGGGACAACAGUUGGAAACGACUGCUAAUACCGCAUAAUGUACGAAGGGGGCAUCCCUUUUGUUCCAAAGGAGCAAUCCGCUGAAAGAUGGGCUCAUAUCUGAUUAGUUAGUUGGCAGGGUAACGGCCUACCAAGACUGCGAUCAGUAGCCGGACUGAGAGGUUGAACGGCCACAUUGGGACUGAGAUACGGCCCAGACUCCUACGGGAGGCAGCAGUGGGGAAUAUUGGGCAAUGGGCGAAAGCCUGACCCAGCAACGCCGCGUGAAGGAAGAAGGUCUUCGGAUUGUAAACUUCUUUUAUGAGGGACGAAGGACGUGACGGUACCUCAUGAAUAAGCCACGGCUAACUACGUGCCAGCAGCCGCGGUAAUACGUAGGUGGCGAGCGUUAUCCGGAUUUACUGGGUGUAAAGGGCGCGUAGGCGGGGGCGCAAGUCAGGUGUGAAAUCUAUGGGCUUAACCCAUAAACUGCACUUGAAACUGCAUCUCUUGAGUGCUGGAGAGGUAGAUGGAAUUCCUUGUGUAGCGGUGAAAUGCGUAGAUAUAAGGAAGAACACCAGUGGCGAAGGCGAUCUACUGGACAGUAACUGACGCUGAGGCGCGAAAGCGUGGGGAGCAAACAGGAUUAGAUACCCUGGUAGUCCACGCUGUAAACGAUGAA
rnacentral:rRNA from 1 species